UUACAUCAUGGACAUCUCAUAUUCCUCGGACAUCAACCUUCCAAAUUUCUUACUAAAAUGUGGGUUAGUAGAUCCAAGAUAAUACCAUCCUCUUAAAUUUGGCACACAAAUAAUUCACAUUAACUCUUAUAGUGAACAAGGUUGCGUCAAUUUGACCAAUCUCAAAACCCUUUUCAAUGAGAACCUUCGCUAAGCAUUUAUACCAACUUGAGAGGCUUGUUUAAGACCAUAUAGUUC
rnacentral:lncRNA from 1 species